rnacentral:rRNA from 1 species
GACGAACGCUGGCGGCGUGCCUAAUACAUGCAAGUUGAGCGAUGAAGCUUGGUGCUUGCACCUAUUUGGAUAGCAGCGGACGGGUGAGUAACGCGUGGGUAAUCUGCCUUUAAGCGGGGGACAACAUUUGGAAACGAAUGCUAAUACCGCAUAACAUCUUUAAACAUAAGGUUUAAUUUUGAAAGAUGCAAUUGCAUCACUCAAAGAUGAUCCCGCGUUGUAUUAGCUAGUUGGUGAGGUAAAGGCUCACCAAGGCGAUGAUACAUAGCCGACCUGAGAGGGUGAUCGGCCACAUUGGGACUGAGAAAAGGCCCAAACUCCUACGGGAGGCAGCAGUAGGGAAACUUCGGCAAUGGAGGAAAGGCUGACCGAGCCACGCCGCGUGAGUGAAGAAGGUUUUCGGAUCGUAAAACUCUGUUGGUAGAGAAGAAAGUUGGUGAGAGUGGAAAGCUCAUCAAGUGACGGUAACUAACCAGAAAGGGACGGCUAACUACGUG